GUUGUGGCUCAGUAGUAGAGCACUCGCCUACCACUUGCGAGGCUCUGGGUUCAAUUCUCAGCACAACA
rnacentral:tRNA from 1 species